UGUCGUCAGCUCGUGUUGUGAAAUGUUGGGUUAAGUCCCGCAACGAGCGCAACCCUUAUCCUUUGUUGCCAGCGGUCCGGCCGGGAACUCAAAGGAGACUGCCAGUGAUAAACUGGAGGAAGGUGGGGAUGACGUCAAGUCAUCAUGGCCCUUACGACCAGGGCUACACACGUGCUACAAUGGCGCAUACAAAGAGAAGCGACCUCGCGAGAGCAAGCGGACCUCAUAAAGUGCGUCGUAGUCCGGAUUGGAGUCUGCAACUCGACUCCAUGAAGUCGGAAUCGCUAGUAAUCGUGGAUCAGAAUGCCACGGUGAAUACGUUCCCGGGCCUUGUACACACCGCCCGUCACACCAUGGGAGUGGGUUGCAAAAGAAGUAGGUAGCUUAACCUUCGGGAGGGCGCUUACCACUUUGUGAUUCAUGACUGGGGUGAAGUCGUAACAAGGUAACCGUAGGGGAACCUGCGGUUGGAUCACCUCCUUACCUUAAA
rnacentral:rRNA from 1 species